rnacentral:rRNA from 1 species
AAAAAAUAAUAAAUAAAUUUUUUUGAAUUUUUUUUUUAUUAAUUAAAAUAAUAAUAAAUUUAAUUAAUUUUUAGUAAUUAAAUUAAAAAAAAUAUAAAUUUUAUAAUUAAAGUAUUGAAAAAGAAAUUUUUAUUAUAUUAAAAAUUAAAUUAUUUAAUUUUUACCUUUUGUAUCAGGGUUGAUUAAAUUUAAAAAAUUAAUAAAUUUUUAUUUCGAAACAAAUUGAUCUAAAUUUUUAUAAUAGUUAAUGUGAAAUUAUUAUUAUUAAUAUUAAUUUAGAAGUAAAAGGUCUACCAUAAUUUGUUAUAUCUAAUUAUUUUAUAAAUAAAUUUAAUUUAGUUAAAAUUUUUUAUAAAUUAAUUAAUUAUUUAAUUAAUUUAAUAAUUUUAAUAAAAUUAUUAGGGUUAAACUUAAUAAUUAUUUUAAUAUAAAUUUUUAUAAUUUAUUAUUUUUAUAAAAAUAAUAAUUUUUAUUAAUAAAUAAUUUGUAAUAAUUAAUAAUUAAAUAAAUAUAAUUUAAUAAAUUAUUUAAUUAAUUAUAAAAUUAAUAAUUUUAAUAAUUUAAAAAUUGAAAUUAUGAUUAAAUUAGUAAAUUAUUUUAAAUUAAAAAUUUUAAAAUUUGUUAGAUUAUUUUAAGGAAUUAGGCAAAAAUUUUUAUUCACCUGUUUAUUAAAAACAUGGUUUUUUGAUUAUAAUUUAAAAUCUAAUCUGCUCAAUGAAUAUUUUAAAUAGCUGCAGUAUUUUGACUGUACAAAGGUAGCAUAAUCAAUUGUCUUUUUAUUAAAGUCUGGAAUGAAAGAUUGAAUGAAAUAAAAUCUGUCUCAAUAUAAUUAAUUUUUGAAUUUAAUUAUUAGUAAAAAUUCUAAUAAUUAUUUAAAAGACGAGAAGACCCUAUAGAAUUUUAUAAAUUUUUUUAUUAAGUUUACUAAAUUUAAUAAAUUUAAUAUUUAAUUUAUUUGAUUGGGGGGAUCAAAAAAUUUAAUUAAUUUUUUUAAUAAUUAAACAAAAAUAUUUGAUUUAUUAUUUUUUUGUUUCCAAAAUUUUUGAAUUUAAAUUAAAUUACCUUAGGGAUAACAGCGUUAAAUUUUUUGAGAGUUCAUAUUGAUAAAAAUUUUUGCGACCUCGAUGUUGAAUUAAAAUAAAUUAUUAUUGUAGGGGAUAAUAUAAUUUAGUCUGUUCGACUAUUAAAAUUUUACAUGAUUUGAGUUUAGAUCGGCGUGAGCCAGAUCGGAUUCUAUCUUUAAAUAAAUAUAAUAUUUUUGUACGAAAGGACUUAAUAUUAGUAAUAAUUAUUAUAAAUUGAAUUAAUUUAAUAUA